rnacentral:misc_RNA from 1 species
ACGAGUUUUGAAAGGGUUGUAGCUGGUCUCAAUCUGAGGCAUGUGCACGCCCUACUCAUCCACUCUCAACCUCUGUGCACUUACUGUAGGUCGGUGAAAGGUUCGCUCUGCGAGCUGGAAGCCUUCCUAUGUUUCACUACAAACGCUUCAGUUUUAGAAUGUAACCUUGCGUAUAACGCAUCUAUAUA